AUUGAACGCUGGCGGCAGGCUUAACACAUGCAAGUCGAGCGGAGAUGAGGUGCUUGCACCUUAUCUUAGCGGCGGACGGGUGAGUAAUGCUUAGGAAUCUGCCUAUUAGUGGGGGACAACAUUCCGAAAGGAAUGCUAAUACCGCAUACGCCCUACGGGGGAAAGCAGGGGAUCUUCGGACCUUGCGAUAAUAGAUGAGCCGAAGUCGGAGUAGCUAGUUGGUGGGGUAAAGGCCUACAAAGGCGACGAUCUGUAGCGGGGCUGAGAGGAUGAUCCGCCACACUGGGACGGAGACACGGCCCAGACUCCUACGGGAGGCAGCAGUGGGGAAUAUUGGACAAUGGGCGGAAGCCUGAUCCAGCCAUGCCGCGUGUGUGAAGAAGGCCUUUUGGUUGUAAAGCACUUUAAGCGAGGAGGAGGCUACCUGGAUUAAUACUCUAGGAUAGUGGACGUUACUCGCAGAAUAAGCACCGGCUAACUCUGUGCCAGCCGCCGCGGUAAUAC
rnacentral:rRNA from 1 species